rnacentral:rRNA from 3 species
UGGGGAAUCUUGCACAAUGGGCGGAAGCCUGAUGCAGCGACGCCGCGUGCGGGACGAAGGCCUUCGGGCUGUAAACCGCUUUCAGCAGGGACGAGGCGAAAGUGACGGUACCUGCAGAAGAAGCCCCGGCUAACUACGUGCCAGCAGCCGCGGUAAUACGUAGGGGGCAAGCGUUAUCCGGAUUCAUUGGGCGUAAAGCGCGCGUAGGCGGCCAGCCUGGUCGGGAGUCAAAUCCGGGGGCUCAACCCCCGUCCGCUCCCGAUACCGGCCGGCUUGAGUCUGGCAGGGGAAGGCGGAAUUCCCGGUGUAGCGGUGGAAUGCGCAGAUAUCGGGAAGAACACCGGUGGCGAAGGCGGCCUUCUGGGCCACGACUGACGCUGAGGCGCGAAAGCUAGGGGAGCGAACAGG